GCCUGUAUAGAUCAGUGGUAGAUCACCUCUGCUUCAUAUCCAAAAAACCCACUCUCGUGGGGAGCCGGAGGUUCGAUUCCUCCUGCGGGCA